GCCUGGCAGUCCUAUGGUUAGGACUCAGUGCUUUCACUGCUGUGGCCCAGGUUCAAUCCCUGGUCAGGGCA
rnacentral:tRNA from 1 species